UACAGAGGUCCCGAGCGUUGUUCGGAUUCAUUGGGCGUAAAGGGUGCGUAGGUGGUCCGUUAAGUCAGUUGUGAAAUCCCCGGGCUCAACUCGGGAACUGCUUCUGAUACUGGCGGACUUGAGCCACUUAGGGGCUACCGGAACAAAUGGUGGAGCGGUGAAAUGCGUAGAUAUCAGGAGGAACACCGGUGGUGUAGACGGCUUUCUGGACCGUAACUGACGCUGAGACACGAAAGCGUGGGUAGCAAACAGG
rnacentral:rRNA from 1 species